rnacentral:rRNA from 1 species
UACGGAGGGUGCGAGCGUUAAUCGGAAUUACUGGGCGUAAAGCGUACGCAGGCGGUCUGUUAAGUCAGAUGUGAAAUCCCCGGGCUUAACCCGGGAACUGCAUUUGAAACUGGCAGGCUAGAGUCUCGUAGAGGGGGGUAGAAUUCCAGGUGUAGCGGUGAAAUGCGUAGAGAUCUGGAGGAAUACCGGUGGCGAAGGCGGCCCCCUGGACGAAGACUGACGCUCAGGUACGAAAGCGUGGGGAGCAAAC